rnacentral:rRNA from 1 species
UACGAAGGGGGCUAGCGUUGCUCGGAAUCACUGGGCGUAAAGGGUGCGUAGGCGGGUUUUAAGUCAGAGGUGAAAUCCUGGAGCUCAACUCCAGAACUGCCUUUGAUACUGAAAGUCUUGAGUAUGGGAGAGGUGAGUGGAACUGCGAGUGUAGAGGUGAAAAUUCGUAGAUAUUCGCAAGAACACCAGUGGCGAAGGCGGCUCACUGGCCCAUACUGACGCUGAGGCACGAAAGCGUGGGGGAGCAAACAGGG